UACGUAGGAUGCAAGCGUUGUCCGGAAUUAUUGGGCGUAAAGGGUGCGCAGGCGGUUUUUCAAGUCAGAUGUGAAAUCUCCCGGCUUAACUGGGAGGGGCCAUUUGAAACUGGAGGACUAGAGUGCAGGAGAGGAUAGCGGAAUUCCCGGUGUAGUGGUGAAAUGCGUAGAUAUCGGGAGGAACACCAGUGGCGAAGGCGGCUAUCUGGCCUGCAACUGAUGCUGAGGCACGAAAGCGUGGGGAGCGAUCCGG
rnacentral:rRNA from 1 species